rnacentral:rRNA from 1 species
GACGAACGCUGGCGGCACGCUAAACACAUGCAAGUCGAACGAGAGAAGAGAAGCUUGCUUUUCUGAUCUAGUGGCGGACGGGUGAGUAACACGUGAGCAAUCUGCCUUUCAGAGGGGGAUACCGAUUGGAAACGAUCGUUAAUACCGCAUAAUAUAAUUGAACCGCAUGAUUUGAUUAUCAAAGAUUUAUCGCUGAAAGAUGAGCUCGCGUCUGAUUAGCUAGUUGGUAAGGUAACGGCUUACCAAGGCGACGAUCAGUAGCCGGACUGAGAGGUUGAUCGGCCACAUUGGGACUGAGACACGGCCCAGACUCCUACGGGAGGCAGCAGUGGGGAAUAUUGCACAAUGGAGGAAACUCUGAUACAGCGAUGCCGCGUGAGGGAAGAAGGUUUUAGGAUUGUAAACCUCUGUCUUCAGGGACGAAAAAAGACGGUACCUGAGGAGGAAGCUCCGGCUAACUACGUGCCAGCAGCCGCGGUAAUACGUAGGGAGCGAGCGUUGUCCGGAAUUACUGGGUGUAAAGGGAGCGUAGGCGGGAUCGCAAGUCAGAUGUGAAAACUAUGGGCUUAACCCAUAAACUGCAUUUGAAACUGUGGUUCUUGAGUGAAGUAGAGGUAAGCGGAAUUCCUAGUGUAGCGGUGAAAUGCGUAGAUAUUAGGAGGAACAUCAGUGGCGAAGGCGGCUUACUGGGCUUUAACUGACGCUGAGGCUCGAAAGCGUGGGGAGCAAACAGGAUUAGAUACCCUGGUAGUCCACGCCGUAAACGAUGAUUACUAGGUGUGGGGGGACUGACCCCUUCCGUGCCGCAGCAAACGCAAUAAGUAAUCCACCUGGGGAGUACGACCGCAAGGUUGAAACUCAAAGGAAUUGACGGGGGCCCGCACAAGCAGUGGAGUAUGUGGAUUAAUUCGAAGCAACGCGAAGAACCUUACCAGGUCUUGACAUCGUAUGCAUAGCUCAGAGAUGAGUGAAAUCUCUUCGGAGACAUAUAGACAGGUGGUGCAUGGUUGUCGUCAGCUCGUGUCGUGAGAUGUUGGGUUAAGUCCCGCAACGAGCGCAACCCUUACUGUUAGUUGCUACGCAAGAGCACUCUAGCAGGACUGCCGUUGACAAAACGGAGGAAGGUGGGGAUGACGUCAAAUCAUCAUGCCCCUUAUGACCUGGGCCUCACACGUACUACAAUGGCUGUCAACAGAGGGAAGCAAAGCCGCGAGGUGGAGCGAACCCCUAAAAGCAGUCUUAGUUCGGAUUGUAGGCUGAAACCCGCCUACAUGAAGUCGGAAUUGCUAGUAAUCGCAGAUCAGCAUGCUGCGGUGAAUACGUUCCCGGGCCUUGUACACACCGCCCGUCACGCCAUGGGAGUCGGUAACACCCGAAGCCUGUAGUCUAACCGCAAGGAGGACGCAGUCGAAGGUGGAUUGAUGACUGGGGUG